rnacentral:rRNA from 1 species
GUCCAGUUACUGUUAACUGAAUACAUAGGUUAACAGAGCAAACCGGGGGAACUGAAACAUCUAAGUACCCCGAGGAGAAGAAAUCAACCGAGAUUCCGGUAGUAGCGGCGAGCGAACCUGGAUUAGCCCUUAAGCACUCGUUGAAGUAGGUGAACAAGCUGGAAAGCUUGGCGAUACAGGGUGAUAGCCCCGUAACCGACGCUUCAUCGAGCGUGAAAUCGAGUAGGGCGGGACACGUGAUAUCCUGUCUGAAUAUGGGGGGACCAUCCUCCAAGGCUAAAUACUCCUGACUGACCGAUAGUGAACCAGUACCGUGAGGGAAAGGCGAAAAGAACCCCUGUGAGGGGAGUGAAAUAGAACCUGAAACCGUGUACGUACAAGCAGUAGGAGCACCUUCGUGGUGUGACUGCGUACCUUUUGUAUAAUGGGUCAGCGACUUAUAUUCAGUGGCAAGGUUAACCGUAUAGGGGAGCCGUAGCGAAAGCGAGUCUUAACUGGGCGCUCAGUCUCUGGAUAUAGACCCGAAACCGGGUGAUCUAGCCAUGGGCAGGUUGAAGGUUGAGUAACAUCAACUGGAGGACCGAACCGACUAAUGUUGAAAAAUUAGCGGAUGACUUGUGGCUAGGGGUGAAAGGCCAAUCAAACUCGGAGAUAGCUGGUUCUCCCCGAAAGCUAUUUAGGUAGCGCCUCGGACGAAUACUACUGGGGGUAGAGCACUGUUAAGGCUAGGGGGUCAUCCCGACUUACCAACCCUUUGCAAACUCCGAAUACCAGUAAGUACUAUCCGGGAGACACACGGCGGGUGCUAACGUCCGUCGUGGAGAGGGAAACAACCCAGACCGCCAGCUAAGGUCCCAAAGUAUUGCUAAGUGGGAAACGAUGUGGGAAGGCUCAGACAGCUAGGAUGUUGGCUUAGAAGCAGCCAUCAUUUAAAGAAAGCGUAAUAGCUCACUAGUCGAGUCGGCCUGCGCGGAAGAUGUAACGGGGCUAAGCAAUACACCGAAGCUGCGGCAAUGCCUUUUAGGUAUUGGGUAGGGGAGCGUUCUGUAAGCCGUUGAAGGUGGUCUGUAAGGGCUGCUGGAGGUAUCAGAAGUGCGAAUGCUGACAUGAGUAACGACAAAGGGGGUGAAAAACCUCCUCGCCGGAAGACCAAGGGUUCCUGUCCAACGUUAAUCGGGGCAGGGUGAGUCGACCCCUAAGGUGAGGCCGAAAGGCGUAAUCGAUGGGAAACGGGUUAAUAUUCCCGUACUUCUGACUAUUGCGAUGGGGGGACGGAGAAGGCUAGGUGGGCCAGGCGACGGUUGUCCUGGUUCAAGUGCGUAGGCUUAAGAGUUAGGUAAAUCCGGCUCUUUCUAAGGCUGAGACACGACGUCGAGCUGCUACGGCAGUGAAGUCAUUGAUGCCAUGCUUCCAGGAAAAGCCUCUAAGCUUCAGAUAGUCAGGAAUCGUACCCCAAACCGACACAGGUGGUCGGGUAGAGAAUACCAAGGCGCUUGAGAGAACUCGGGUGAAGGAACUAGGCAAAAUGGUACCGUAACUUCGGGAGAAGGUACGCUCUUGAUGGUGAAGUCCCUUGCGGAUGGAGCUGACGAGAGUCGCAGAUACCAGGUGGCUGCAACUGUUUAUUAAAAACACAGCACUGUGCAAAAUCGCAAGAUGACGUAUACGGUGUGACGCCUGCCCGGUGCCGGAAGGUUAAUUGAUGGGGUUAGCGCAAGCGAAGCUCUUGAUCGAAGCCCCGGUAAACGGCGGCCGUAACUAUAACGGUCCUAAGGUAGCGAAAUUCCUUGUCGGGUAAGUUCCGACCUGCACGAAUGGCGUAAUGAUGGCCACGCUGUCUCCACCCGAGACUCAGUGAAAUUGAAAUCGCUGUGAAGAUGCAGUGUACCCGCGGCUAGACGGAAAGACCCCGUGAACCUUUACUACAGCUUGGCACUGAACAUUGAACCUACAUGUGUAGGAUAGGUGGGAGGCUAUGAAGACGUGACGCUAGUUGCGUUGGAGCCGUCCUUGAAAUACCACCCUUGUAUGUUUGAUGUUCUAACUUAGACCCGUUAUCCGGGUUGAGGACAGUGCCUGGUGGGUAGUUUGACUGGGGCGGUCUCCUCCCAAAGAGUAACGGAGGAGCACGAAGGUGGGCUAAUCACGGUUGGACAUCGUGAGGUUAGUGCAAUGGCAUAAGCCCGCUUAACUGCGAGAAUGACGGUUCGAGCAGGUGCGAAAGCAGGUCAUAGUGAUCCGGUGGUUCUGUAUGGAAGGGCCAUCGCUCAACGGAUAAAAGGUACUCCGGGGAUAACAGGCUGAUACCGCCCAAGAGUUCAUAUCGACGGCGGUGUUUGGCACCUCGAUGUCGGCUCAUCACAUCCUGGGGCUGAAGUCGGUCCCAAGGGUAUGGCUGUUCGCCAUUUAAAGUGGUACGCGAGCUGGGUUUAGAACGUCGUGAGACAGUUCGGUCCCUAUCUGCCGUGGGCGUUGGAAGAUUGAAGGGGGCUGCUCCUAGUACGAGAGGACCGGAGUGGACGAACCUCUGGUGUUCGGGUUGUGUCGCCAGACGCAUUGCCCGGUAGCUAAGUUCGGAAUUGAUAAGCGCUGAAAGCAUCUAAGCGCGAAGCGAGCCCUGAGAUGAGUCUUCCC